GACAGAGGGUGCAAACGUUGUUCGGAAUUACUGGGCGUAAAGCGCGUGUAGGCGGCCAUGCAAGUCGGAUGUGAAAGCCCUCGGCUCAACCGGGGAAGUGCACUCGAAACUGCAAGGCUAGAGUCUCGGAGAGGAUCGUGGAAUUCUCGGUGUAGAGGUGAAAUUCGUAGAUAUCGAGAGGAACACCGGUGGCGAAGGCGGCGAUCUGGACGAUGACUGACGCUGAGACGCGAAAGCCAGGGGAGCAAACGGG
rnacentral:rRNA from 1 species